ACGAAUUUCUCAAGGUUGCUUUUGCGUGGUGCGGUCUUCCGCAUAGCGUUGAUUGCGGCUCUUGAGCAUUUCACACAUCCCCUGUGCACCUUAAGAGGGUAACUGUUCGGUCUUGAGCGCUGCAAGGUGCUCGACGGAAUAUGUUGCCUUCUCUUUCACAAAAUCAAAAGUCUAGAAUGUUUGAUAAUAUUAAAUAAAA
rnacentral:misc_RNA from 1 species